GGGUUGUGAGGUUAAGCGACUAAGCGUACACGGUGGAUGCCCUGGCAGUCAGAGGCGAUGAAGGGCGUGCUAAUCUGCGAUAAGCGCCGGUAAGGUGAUAUGAACCGUUAUAACCGGCGAUACCCGAAUGGGGAAACCCAGUGUGAUUCGUCACACUAUCAUUAACUGAAUCCAUAGGUUAAUGAGGCGAACCGGGGGAACUGAAACAUCUAAGUACCCCGAGGAAAAGAAAUCAACCGAGAUUCCCCCAGUAGCGGCGAGCGAACGGGGAGGAGCCCAGAGCCUGAAUCAGCAUGUGUGUUAGUGGAAGCGUCUGGAAAGGCGCGCGAUACAGGGUGACAGCCCCGUACACAAAAGCGCAUGUGCUGUGAGCUCGAUGAGUAGGGCGGGACACGUGGUAUCCUGUCUGAAUAUGGGGGGACCAUCCUCCAAGGCUAAAUACUCCUGACUGACCGAUAGUGAACCAGUACCGUGAGGGAAAGGCGAAAAGAACCCC
rnacentral:rRNA from 1 species